GGUCAGAGAGGGAAGGACACAGAAUCCAAAGCCGAAUCCGAGCUGUCAGCACAGAGCCCGACGCAGGGCUGGAACUCAUGGACUGCAAGAUCAUGAGCUGAGCCGAAGUUGGACGCUCAACCGACUGAGCCACCCAGGAGCCCCUAAGGUGGACAUUAUUAUCAGGAAGAGGCCCACAAAAGUCACGUUGCCACCCUGCUUAUUACCAGAUUAGAAAAGUAAUCUUCUAGGGCGCCUGGGUGGUUCAGUCAUUAAGCAUCUGACUUUGGCUCAGGUCACGCACGAUCUCACGGUUCAUGAGUUGGAGUCCUACAUCGGGUGAACACGAGCACCGCUUCGGUUGAGCCCUGCUUCUCUCUCUCUUCCCCUCUCUCUCUCCCUCCCUCUGCUCCUCCUGGGAUUUUCUCUCACUCUCUGCCCCUCCCUCACUUGCACCCUCUCUCUUUCAGAAAAGAAAAAAAGAAAAGUGAUCUUGUCAUUUGUGAGAGGUCUGAUGGAUGAGGAACAUUCUGGACUGUGGCAAAUGGGCCAGGGGAAUUGUCACACUAUGGUGAUGGUAGCCAUCGAAGGCUGUUACACAGAAGAGAGACACGAUUGGAUUUAUGUUUCGAAAAGACCCCUUGGGAAGUCCUGUGGGGAAGCACUGGGAAGAAGCUGGGAAGACGGGCUUCAGAGGUGGCUUCAGUGGAACUACGGAAGAUGACUGAGCCACGCCGCGGUGACCAGAGCACAGACCAGCUCCCGGCCCCUAGACACGCCCAGAAUGAAGCUCACACAGGCUGCCCAGCCAGCGUGGCUGGCCACGCUGCCAUUCCUUACCCCUCUACCCAUCUCUCCGGAUGCACCUCUUCGUGGAAGGUGGUAGGUCAUUUCUUCUAGAGUUCGGGGUAGAAAAAAAAUCAUGUGAAGCACGGAUACCGAACAGUUGGACGAGCUGAGGACCUGCUCUGUGUUAUUAGGAACAAAAUGUUGGUCCCGUGUAGGUCAGGAGAGUUUCACAAUAAGGGUUUAUGUGUCUCCUGUUUGGAGAAGUGUGAGGCUCUUAUCCAGGAAAACUCCAGAAUAUAUGAACCACAUGGGACUGAGCCCCUUCCAUCCUUCCAUUUGAUGCUGCUUACAACUGGCCUCUUUAUGUCAGGUUUUGUUUUACUCAGCUGUUUAUUGUUUUAUGUAGGAGGUAGCUUUAUAAACUCCAAAAGCACAUUAUUGUUCUUAAACAGGAAAAAAAAAAAGCUAAAGGAGAAUUUUGUCUUUGGAAACGUUUUGAUAGAAGAUAUAAGAGGGAAAGAAACAGUUAAUGCUGGGGUCAGGAAAUCUAUCAGUCUUAGGAAAAGAACUUGAACACAUAAAUUGCAGAUUAGGCUGACAGCUGCAUCUCUGGACUGUCAGUCACUUACAGACAGGUGACAUCACAUCACUUAAAGCAGCACCCAGAGCGCUGCGGUCUUAGAUCUUCUCAGUCUUAACUCCCGCAUCAUUGACUCACCUGAUCCACAGGCUCCCCAACUGAGAGUGAAAUCACAAUAAAUAAACCCUCUCUGUUCUGAUUCAUGGAGGUGAAGAACAGUCUGAGUUAGUAAAAUUGCUGAAGUGCAUUUUUUUUCUUUUUUUUUCCCCGUUCAUUGUGUUAAGUGUACUCUUUGAUUCCCAUCACCUACUUCUCCCAUCCCCCAACCGCCACCUCUUUGGUAACCAUCAGUUUGUUCUCUAUAGUUAAGAGUGUGUUUCUUGGUUUGCCCCACUCCCUCUCUUUUUUCCUUUGCUUAUUUCUUUUGUUUCUUAAAUGCCACAUAUGAAUGAAAUCCUAUGGUGUUCGUCUUUCUUUGACUUAUUUCAUUUAGCAUUAUACCGUGUAGAUCCAUCCAAAUGCAAGAUUUUAUUCUUUUUUGUAAGGCCAAAUAAUAUUUCAUUGUGUAUAUAUACCGCAUCGUCUUUAUCCGUUCAUCCAUCGAUGGACAUUUGGACUGCUUCCAGAGUUUGGCUAUUGUAAAUAAUGCUGCAAUAAACAUAGGGGUACAUGUAUCCUUUGAAUUCGUAUUUUUAUAUUUUGGGGGUAAAUACCCAGUACUGAGGUAACUAGAUUAUACAACAGUU